rnacentral:rRNA from 1 species
UACAGAGGUCCCAAGCGUUGUUCGGAUUCACUGGGCGUAAAGGGUGCGCAGGUGGUUUGGCAAGUUUGACGUGAAAGCCCCGGGCUUAACCCGGGAAUGGCGUUGAAAACUGCUUGAACUGGAGGUCGGAGGGGGACUGGAAUUCUUGGUGUAGCAGUGAAAUGCGUAGAUAUCAAGAGGAACACCAGUGGCGAAGGCGAGUCCCUGGACGAUACCUGACACUGAGGCACGAAAGCCAAGGGAGCAAACAGG